rnacentral:sRNA from 1 species
GCAGUCUUCUCCCCCGGAGGCUUGGCGGUGGCUACCUCACGCUGGAAAUCAGAACUACAGGGCCGCCGCCACGCGGGGCAAGGACUGAAUACCCUGCUCAAGAGCCUGGUGCCUGGCAUAGACAAGAAUGCUGAGGAAGAUUCAAUAGCUGUGUUACUCAAAAGCUGAUUCAAAAGUUCAUCUGGAAAAUUGGAGAAACUGAAGUUUGAAUGGCUUGUUCUCUAGGCUACAUAGCAAGUAAUUUACAGAGCUUGCAUCUGAAUGACUCCAAAGCUCCUGCUCUUUCUGCUGCUAUCUACUGCCCCAGGCACCCAGAUUGGCUGAAAACUUCUGUGUCUGCCAUUUAGCUACUGGGGACAUGCUGAGGGCCAUGGUGGCUUCUGGCUCAGAGCUAGGAAAAAAGCUGAAGGCAACUAUGGAUGCUGGGAAACUGGUGAGUGAUGAAAUGGUAGUGGAGCUCAUUGAGAAGAAUUUGGAGACCCCCUUGUGCAAAAAUGGUUUUCUUCUGGAUGGCUUCCCUCGGACUGUGA